GACAGAGGGUGCAAACGUUGCUCGGAAUCACUGGGCGUAAAGCGCACGUAGGCGGAUUGUUAAGUCGGGGGUGAAAUCCUGGAGCUCAACUCCAGAACUGCCUUCGAUACUGGCGAUCUUGAGUCCGGGAGAGGUGAGUGGAACUCCGAGUGUAGAGGUGAAAUUCGUAGAUAUUCGGAAGAACACCAGUGGCGAAGGCGGCUCACUGGCCCGGUACUGACGCUGAGGUGCGAAAGCGUGGGGAGCAAACAGG
rnacentral:rRNA from 1 species